AGAUAACCCAGUACAGAGGUUAGGAGAAAAAAGGGAGAAAACUGUUCGAGAGCGACUCGUAAAAUCUCGGUAACAUUGACAGCUGUGCGCGCGUCAGCUGUGUCAUAUUAUAAGUGCGCAAAUCAUUGUAAAAGUGAGUGAAUUAGCAAAAUAUGAGAAACAAAGGGACGAUAUUACCUUAUUUUGUAUUUUUCCAAGUUUGUUCUCAUAUCUCCAAAACACAUGAUUCUUUUUCCACACAACUUUUUUAUUUCAUACGUUUUUAUAUAAUGAUGAUUUCCAGACAAGCUAUCGAUCAGAAUAAUGAGCUGGCCAGUGGAAAGAUUUUUUAUGUCUGGUGGAAGAGUUUAUAGUUAAUAAUGUGUAAACAGUGUUCCUGGACCGAACAGAGUAGCGUUAGGAGUGGUUGCUCAACCUUCGCAGUGCAUUGAAGCUUGAUACAACCGCUGUACAACGUUAAUAGUUUGAUCUCUCCUUACACAAGUGAAGAUAAUGAGGUUCAUUAAGGAGCUGUUAAUCAAGGAAGCUAAUGAAUGGAAAACCAAUGCUGACAGAGUGGCUGUUGAUGAGUACAACUCUGGAAAUUAUGACAAUGAAGCAGACAGUGAAGAUGAAGAUUUGGAAAAGGAGGACGAUGUGAUCAAAUCUGAUAAUAAUCUUGGACAUGUCGAAGGAAAUGCCAUUUUUGAUUAUCAUUUUUACAGUAAUCAAUUGUGUAAAAGAAUCAAAACCCGAACAAAACCGAUGUUAUGGAAGUAGCUAAUGAUAUGGACGGAAUGGUUUUGAAAGCUAGGACACCUAGUCAAAUUAAGAAAAAAAGGAAUGAAAUGAGUGAACCCUCGAAUAACUCAUUAUUAUACCUUUGUAAAUAAAAAAGGAAACAAAAUGAAUAUAAAUGAAAGGUAUAUCACUGGAGUGAGAAUGAGCUACACGAUUUUUUAAAUAUAAUUCAGAGGAUUAGGUCCAACGAUCAUAGUUUGUCCGGCAACUUUGCUCAAACAAUGGUUAAGACAGUUCCGUGAAUGGGCACCACUUUUAAAAGUUACUGUCCUCCAUCAUUCAGGAACUUAUCGGGGCGAAUAAGAAAAAGAAUUACGAUUGAAUAAUAAAUAAAAGGCGAAAGACAAAUAAAAAAUUUAUUCGAAGGUACAUCUGAGAAUUCGAUCUAAAGUAUUGUAACAAUGGGAGGAAUUUUAAUCACAUCUUACUCCGGCGUGCUCCAGCACUAAGAGGCUUUACUCGAAUCCCAUGGCACUACAUCAUUUUGGACGAAGGUCACAAAAUUCGGAAUUCUGAGGGUAACUAGAACAAAAAGAUUUUCAACGCCUCACCGCUUACUUCUAACUGGAAGUCUGAUGCAAAAUUCCUUAAAAGAAUUGUGGUCCUUGCUCGACUUCAUAUUACCAGGAAAAAUGGGGGCUCCGAGCAAUCAAGGGAUAAAACUCAAGUAACGAUUCUUACUGAAGUCUUGUGACAGCUGAAAAAUGCAACGGGAUUCAUUGAACGGAAGUCUUGGUCAAUCUGAUGAUUUAGGUGUACCGCUUGUUUGCAGUAUAACUUCUCAUUUAAAGAAUUCUAAUCAUAUACUCAGGAUAUCGUUGAUGCUAUCACGAAACAGCUCGUUUGUGCGCUCAUCUCGACACUGUGGGUACCCCUUCCGAUGAUGGAAAGAAGUCAAAAAAGAUUUGAGAGGCAUCAAGGGUGACUUGAAAAGGCCGUUUGAAAAAGCAUGGAAAGGUUACGAUACCAAGUACGCAGAAAUGGAAAAGGAGUAGAAGCAACACCAAGUACCCGGAGGCUGACCUCAUCCGCUCGGAAGUUACACCCGCUGAAAUUGCUGACUAAAUGGAAAAGGAGAGACGAUUGUUCCAAUUACAGAUUUGCGAGAUUCGUUCGCAAAUGUCAAACGAUGGCCACACGAGAUCGACUAAGACUGCAAUAUAGUCAAUAGGGUUCUCGCGGAUAACAAAAAUGAUGCUCCUAACCAGAAAGAACUGAUCAAAGAUAUUGAACGUUUUCCCACCUAAAUGGAUAUUUAACUCGGUUAAAUAUCCAUGAGACCUUGGUUAGGCAUCGUCAAUGUUGAAGAGGCGAUCCAGGGCAAUUCGACGACGACAUCACUAGUAGCGGCAGAGUUAUCGGCAACUACAAUGGCAAUUCGCAUGGGAACCUCGAGUGAUUGGACCGGUGGCUCAACGAGAUCCAAUCCAAAACAUAAUGCAAAAACCGUGAUGACGGGAAAAAGCGGAACUCGAGGACGAUGGAAUUGUUAAAACGGAGGUCUGAGCGAGAGAAGACAAUACACGGAGACAACUUCAAAGACGAGCCAACGAAUCCCAUUAUCGAGUGGAAGGACAGAGAGGAAAAACACGAUACAAAUAUGCGAAGCACUGUGAUACAUUACGAAAAAUGUAUUUACCAACGAGAUAGUCACCGAAAAUAAUACCAACUGCGCAAAUUGAUGCGCAAAUGAUAGACGCGUCAGUGGAGGAAACUUGAGAUCGACAACCUUCUUUACUUUCCAUUCUAUGAAUAUGGAUUUAUCUGUAUUUGUUAAUAAACUUGUAAUUCAUCGUA